CCAAUUUUCAUGAAGAUCCAUUGAGAAAUAUGGCCUCUAGAGAGGUCACAAGGUUUUUCUAUUUUUAGAUCUACUGACCUAGUUUUUGACCCCAGAUGACCCAGUUUCAAACUCAACCUAGAUAUCAUCAAGAUGAACAUUCUCACCAAUUUUCAUGAAGAUCUCAUGAAAAAUAUGGCCUCUAGAGAGGUCACAAGGUUUUUCUAUUUUUAGAUCUACUGACCUAGUUUUUGACCCCACGUGACCCAGUUUCGAACUUGACCUAGAUAUCAUCAAGGUGAACAUUCUGACCAAUUUUCAUGAAGAUCCAUUGAGAAAUAUGGCCUCUAGAGAGGUCACAAGGUUUUUCUAUUUUUUGACCUGCUGACCUAGUUUUUGACCCCAUGUGACCCAGUUUCGAACUUGACCUAGAUAUUAUCGGGGUGAACAUUCUGACUAAUUUUCAUGAAGAUCUCAUGAAAAAUAUGGCCUCUAGAGAGGUCACAAGGUUUUUCUAUUUUUAGAUGUACUGACCUAGUUUUUGACCGCAUGUGACCCAGUUUCGAACUUGACCUAGAUAUCAUCAAGAUGAACAUUCUGACCAACUUUCAUAAAGAUCCCAUGAAAAAUGUGACCUCUAGAGUGGUCACAAGCAAAAGUUUACGCACGCACGGACGACGGACGCCACGCGAUCACAAAGCUCACCUUGUCACUUUGUGACAGGUGAGCUAAAAAUAGAAAAACCUUGUGACCUCUCUAGAGGCCAUAUGUUUCAUGAGAGCUUCAUGAAAAUUGGUCAGAAUAUUCAUCUUGAUGAUAUCUAGGUCAAGUUCGAAAGUGGGUCACGUGCCGUUAAAAACUAGGUCAGUAGGUCAAAUAAUAGAAAAACCUUGAGACCUCUCUAGAGGUCAUAUUUUUCAUGGGAUCUGUCUGAAAGUUGGUCUGAAUGUUCAUCUUGAUGAUAUCUAGGUCAAGUUGGAAAGUGGGUCACGUACGGUCAAAAACUAGGUCAGUAGGUCUAAAAAUAGAAAAACCUUGUGACCUCUCUAGAGGCCAUACUUGUGAAUGGAUCUUCAUAAAAAUUGGUCAGAAUGUUCAUCUUGAUGAUAUCUAGGUCAAGUUCGAAAGUAGGUCACGUGCCAUCAAAAAGUGGGUCAGUAGGUCAAAUAAUGAAAAAACGUUGUGACCUCUCUAGAGGCUAUAUUUUUCAUGGGAUCUGUAUGAAAGUUAGUCUGAAUGUUUAUGUUGAUGAUAUAUAGGUCAAGUUUGAAACUGGGUCAACUGCAAUCAAAAACUAGGUCAGUAGGUCUUGAAAGAGAAAAACCUUGUGACCUCUCUAGAGGCCAUACCCUUGAAUGGAUCUUUAUGAAAAUUGGUCAGAAUGUUCUCCUUGAUGAUAUCUAGGUCAAGUUUGAAACUUGGUCACAUGCCGUUAAAAACUAGGUCAGUAGGUCAAAUAAUAUAAAAACCUUGUGACAUCUCUAGAGGCCAUACUUUUCAUGGGAUCUGUAUGAAAGAUGGUCUGAAUGUUCAUCUUGAUGAUAUCUAGGUCAAGUUUGAAACUGGAUCAACUGCGGUCAAAAACUAGGUCAGUAGGUCUAAAAUUAUUAAAAUCUUUUGACCUCUCUAGAGGCCAUAUUUUUCAAUGGAUCUUCAUGAAAAUUGAUCUGAAUGUUUACCUUGAUGAUAUCUAGGUCAGUUUCGAAACUGGGUCACGUGCGGUCAAAAACUAGGCCAGUAGGUAUAAAAAUAGAAAAACCUUGUGACCUCUCUAGAGGCCAUAUUUUUCAUGAGAUCUUCAUGAAAAUUAGUGAGAAUGUGCACCUUGAUGAUAUCUAGAUAAAGUUCAAAACAGGGUCACGUACCUUCGAAAACUAGGUCAAUAGGUCAAAUAAUAGAAAAACCUUGUGACCUCUCUAGAGACCAUAUUUUUCAAUGGAUCUUCAUGAAAAUUGGUCAGAAUUUUUAUCUUGAUAAUAUCUAGGUCAAGUUCAAAACUGGGUCACAUGAGCUCAAAAACUAGGUCACUAUGUCAAAUAAUAGAAAAAACGACGUCAUACUCAAAACUGGAUCAUGUGGGAAGAGGUGAGCGAUUCAGGACCAUCAUGAUCCUCUUGUUAUCUAUAUGAAACUUUCAGAAUAUCUUAGUUUGUAUAAACAUACUGCUUAUUUAAGAAUUUUGAAUAUAAUUAUGUUUUUGAAAUUUCCUUAGACCAAAAAAAACAUGGAUUGCAUUUUCUCAAACAUUAACUAACCAUUUCUUUGGGGCCAUUUUCAUAGGUUCCUAGACUAAUGUAAAUAUGUCAUUGAAAUUUAUGUAAAUGUGUCGUUAAAAUUUACAAGAAUUCUGUGAUAUUAAAUGUUAUAGCUGA